AUUGAACGCUGGCGGCAGGCCUAACACAUGCAAGUCGAGCGGAGCGGCGGACGGGUGAGUAAAGCCUAGGACUCUGCCUGGUAGUGGGGGAUAACGUCCGGAAACGGUCGCUAAAACCGAAUAAUAUCAAAUGAGCCUAGGUCGUAUUAGCUAGUGGGUGGGGUAAAGGCCUACCAAGGCGACGAUCGGGAACUGGUCUGAGAGGAUGAUCAGGCACACUGGAACGGAGACACGGUCCAGACUCCUACGGGAGGCAGCAGUGGGGAAUAUUGGACAAUGGGCGAAAGCCUGAUCCAGCCAUGCCGCGUGUGUGAAUAAGGUCUUCGGAUUGUAAAGCACUUUAAGUUGGGAGGCGUUACCAACAGAAUAAGCACCGGCUAACUUCGUGCCAGCAGCCGCGGUAAUAC
rnacentral:rRNA from 1 species